rnacentral:rRNA from 1 species
GACGAACGCUGGCGGCGUGCUUAACACAUGCAAGUCGAACGGAAAGGCCCUGCUUUCGUGGGGUGCUCGAGUGGCGAACGGGUGAGUAACACGUGAGUAACCUGCCCUUGACUUUGGGAUAACUUCAGGAAACUGGGGCUAAUACCGGAUAGGAGCUCCUGCUGCAUGGUGGGGGUUGGAAAGUUUCGGCGGUUGGGGAUGGACUCGCGGCUUAUCAGCUUGUUGGUGGGGUAGUGGCUUACCAAGGCUUUGAUGGGUAGCCGGCCUGAGAGGGUGACCGGGCACAGUGGGACUGAGAGACGGCCCAGAGUCCUACGGGAGGCAGCAGUGGGGAAUAUUGCACAAUGGGCGGAAGCCUGAUGCAGCAACGCCGCGUGCGGGAUGACGACCUUCGGGUUGUAAACCGCUUUCGCCUGUGACGAUGCGUGAGUGACGGUAAUGGGUAAAGAAGCACCGGCUAACUACGUG